CGGGGUGCAGCUCAGCGUGGUAGAGUGCUUGAAUGGGGUUCAAGAAGCCGCAGGUGCGACUCCUGUCACUCCGACCA
rnacentral:tRNA from 1 species